UUGGAAGGGAGCUUCAUGAUCAUUUAGUUCCGAAACCCCUGCCAUUGCCGGAGACUGAUUCCAGUAGAUCAGAUUGCUCAAAGUCCUGUCCAUCUGAGCAGUAUUUAGAGCUAAACUGCUCUGCUGGGUGGGUAGGUAUCUCCUUCAACUACAGCAGUCUCCUGUCAUGAACACCUGCAGAAGUUUUGGGGCUCUCCAGACCAUAGCAAGGACCUCACCAGGUCUGCCCAGGCUGCUCUGAAUUGGUAAACAGACUCCUUUCCUACUGCUGGGGAAACAACCAUGGCUCUGAGUUACCUGAGCAAAGACACAAUGAACAGAAUAGGAAAAUAUUCAGCUUGGUGGUUUUGGCUCAAGCAGAGAGCAUUUUUCUCAUGUUAACAGCCUUUCAGAGCUGACUUCAGCAGGUACCUCCUGGCUGUACCUUAACAGGAACUUCAGCUCAGGGAAAAAGCUCUCUAGAGGAAUGAAGAAGGCAUUCAUCCCCACCAGCGCUGGAGAGCUUUUGCUUGGAUCAGAAAAGAGCAGAACAGGUCUAGCCCAGGCUUAGAGUGAAGGUCAGAAAAAAUGUUGUUUUUUUACAAGACUGACAUUCUCUCAUCAUUCUCUCUGCUGCUUCCCACCUUUCCUAGGACAGCUCAGUAUUACAGCUUCCUGUUAAUUAUUCAUCCCAGCCUGUAUUUGCUUAGGUAAAGUUCACAUAAUGAAUUGCCUGAACCCGCCUGAUCUGGUCUCCCUGGGCUGUAAAUUGGCAAGAGCUGAGACACUGGUGACGAACGAUGGCCACAAUGAACAGGCAGUUCUUACUUUCUUAUAUAAGCAUUUUCAGGACAUUUUGCAAUGGUUUCAAGCACUCAUGAACUUUGCUUCCCAUUUUUACCUUCACUGUGCCUGGCCGUGGCAUCACCAUGUUCCAGAGGGGUUUAUUAGGUCUAGACUUAAAUUAUGGGUGUCAUAGAGUGAAAUAAAAGUUAGUAAGGUAAUGAUUAAAGAACAAUCUCAGGUCCUGCAGGUCCCUUUCUUCCUUGUGGGAUGAUGAGCUGUGUGGUGAGAUGGGGCAUGGGAGAAAUGAAGGAUGCAUGGAAAGGGGGUGACUGGAGAGGUCCCUUGGACCUUUCACCUUUCAUGCAGCCCCUCUCCUGGGCACCCCACACUGGGAGUGGCAGAGUCACAGGAAGGAGGUACCAGGGCGUGAAAAUGAGGUUCAGUGUGGAUUUCGAGGGGUUUUGAGCUGAGCUCCAGUUAUCCUGGGCUUUUCAACCUGAUUUUACUUCAUAGGAGUCACAUAAACCUUACUUGUUUGAAUACUUUAAAGAGGAGUAACAUCAUCGGUUUCAAGAGAUGCACAUCAGCAAAAAGCCAGCACAGACAAAAUGAAUGAAUGAAGCCCCUGAAGCAUGUGGGACUAACACACUGGAGUGGGAAACAUCCACAUAAAGAAGGUCAAAAGGGGCUACUAGCCAGGAAAGGAAUUUGUGAUCACAGUAAAAAUAUCCCUGAAAUGUCUGAAGAGGCCUUACUUAGGAGCAGAAGAGACAGCAGAGAUGAAGCUGGAUUGCUUUCUCAGGGCAGCACUGCACAUUAGAUGCUUAGUGCUAACUGCCCUAAAUAGUGCUCGAUUCUGCUUGGAGGAACAAUUUGACAUCCCAGGCACUUUGGUGUGAUUGCACCGUAGGCAAUGACAGGAGUUCUUCUUCAUUGUCUGAGCUUGAAAGUAGAAGGUAAUAGAGCGUCAGGACUGUGGGAAAGAGCAUCUUCUGGAAUUAGACAUGGUCAACAUGCUGUUGCUGCAGUAACCAGCCCUGCUGAGGGGUAGGGAAAUUAGAUUUCUGUAAACUUCACCUCCCUGAAGGAAGGAUGUACCAGGUGGGGAUUGGUGUCUUCUCCCAAGUAACAAGUGACAGGAGCAGAAGAAGUGGCUUCAAGUUCUACUGGGCCAGUUUACAUUGGAUAUUAGGAAAAAUUUCCUCCCUAAGAUGUCGUCAGGCAUUGGAACAGGUUACCCAGAGAAGUGGGGGAGUCACCAUCCCUGAAAGUGUUCCAAUGCAUGUAGAUGUGGUAGUUGGGGACAGGGUUUAGUGGUGGGCUUGGCAGUGCUGGUUAAUGGUUGAACUUGAUUGUCUUGGAGGUCUUUUACUUACUAAAUGAUCUUAAGAUUCUAACCUGAACGUUGCCCAGUUGCAGCUCCAAACUAGGGGUUGAAUAAUACCCAUGUGCAAAUCUUGGGAUGGUACUGUACAGGAGAUGAAGGCACGAUGAUGCAGGGUUCCCUGACUUCUGGCCCACUCAGCAUCCUUUAUACCGUUUGCUCAGCUCUGGCUUUUUCCACUCAGGAGGAAUUUCCCUAAACAGAAAAGUAAUGGUGGUGGGCAAUAGCUGCCUCUCUCCCCUAAAAGAAAGGUUACAUCUAUUUAAUAAGACAGGUAAAUAAAUCAAGGGGGUUAUUACCAAUAUAGUGGGCAAAUAUGCUGUUAUUAAGCAUCUCUGGACAACACAUUUUGAUUAAGUGGCCUAAUUUCCAGUGUGAAAUACCUGACAACUUACUGCAUUAAAUAAAGAGCUGGCAGAUAAAACCCAGGGCUGACACUGAGCAUUGCUCUGCUUCCAUUUUUUUGGGUGUAUGGGUGGCUGUCCUAUUCAUUCAUGCUCUCCUCUGUCUUACAGAGCCAGUUUUUGAGCUGGGAUAACCUCUAACUGGAUUAUAUCAGGGUAUGAUCCAGGAAUGUUCAUGUAAGAGAGUAGCUAUUGAAGGGGAGGAGUGCCUGUUGCCCUCCUGGGACUUCUUAGGGACAUGUGAGAAUGAGUUUAGCCCCAGGGUUAGAUUACCCUGGUGUGGUAUCCAGAUGGAUUCCAUGGGUACCCCAAGAGCAUCACUCUGUGCUUCUACUUUCAACCCAAAAUGACUUGCUUGCUCCUUUCCCCACGUUGCCUUUGCUUCUAGACUUCAGCCAUGGUACUGAGAUGAGGCCUCGUCUGCCGGUGGGACAGGGUCUUGCUCCCAUCUUCUCACCCUGAUUACAGGGGAAGGAGUUACCCUAUAUUGUCAUAGCUGAGGAAAAUAUAUUUUGGAAAGGACUCAGCUUCUUCCUCCUUCUGAGAGAUAUUAAAGGAGUCCAGAAUUUUAAGUGUUCUGCUCUCAGCCCUGUGACUCUUCCAAAUAUCUGCCUCCUUUCUCUGGAAGCUGUCCCAGCUCCAGACUCAGCAAACACUCGACAUGUGUCAGUGAAAAGAGAAAAAAACCAACAUGAACCAACAAGUGCAGAAACAUCCAAGCCCCAUAUGAAACAAAAAGGGGCUUUACAAAGCCUAACAAAGGCUCAUGCUCCCUUACAAAAGUUACUAUUUAAUUUUUUUUUUUGCUUCAACUUUCAUUUCUUAACUUCCUCAGACAUUUUGUGGGCUUUGAUGGAAGGUGGGGUUGAUGCAUGGCUCUCUGUUGCUCUCUGCCCUGACGAAAGCCAGCUCUGGUCCUGCAGUCCCUGUCCCAGUAAAGCCCCUGUUGUCUCAAGAACUCUUCAGGGAAAGUUUGCUGCAACUGCUUGGCCGGGCGCACGGCCAGCAAAACCAGCCCCUCUGGGCUCAUCAGGAGAGACCUUGUACUACAUUUUCCACUAUACUUAUCUAAUCUUGGCUUGUGUCCAUCUAGUGUUUGUGCAGUAAUUACCUCACUAGGCAAAACAGUUCCACUGCCUAAUUGUCUUCACUCUCAGGAAAUUGUUCCUAAUAGCCAGCUAAAUUUAAUCUCCCCUUCCUUGCUCGAUCCACCACGGCUAAAUCUGCACAGCCCCUCUCCCUCUGCUCACAGUCCUGUACAUGAAGUGACUGUAUGGUGUUAUCUGCUCUUAUUUCUCUAGGCUAAACAAGCAAAAUCAUUUUCCAGAAUCCAUGUGAGUCACAACCAUUGUUCUUAACUCAUUUUCCUUGGCUGGUUCGAAUUUCUUUCUGCAAUCUUUCAGACCACAUCCAAAACUGAAGUGUGUUCAGCUCCCAAGUGCGUUGAGCUCAUGAAUCAGGUUACCACAAAACAGCUUUUCCUUACAAAAACAGAAAUGUGAAAAGAAGAUACUAAUUUUUUAAGCUUCACCAAGAUCUUGAACCCUAGAAUCAUGUCAUUGAUUAGGUUGGAAAAGCCCUCUAAGGUCAUUGAGUUCAACCACUAACCCAGCACUGCCAAGCCCACCACUAAACCAUGUCCCCAAGUGCCACACCUACACCUCCAGACAUGGUGAUUCCAUCAACACCUCUGGUGCUUGGCAACCCUUCUGGGGAAGAAUUUUUUCCUAGUAACCAAUCUAAACCUCCUCCCGUGCAACUUAAGGGCAUUUCCUCUUGUCCUAUCACUUGUAACUUGGAAAAAAAGACUGACCCCCACCUGACUACACCCUCUUGUAGAGAGCAGCAAGGUUCCCUUGAGCCUCCUUUCCUCCAAGCUAAACACUUCCAACUUCCUCAGCUUUUCCUCAUCAGACUUGUGCUCCAGACCCUUCCUCAGCUCUCUUGCCCUUCUCUGUACACACUUCAACACCUCAAUGUCUUUCUUGUCAUAAGGAGCCUCAAGAGUUUUCUUUAAAUUAUUUUUCAGUGGCUUUUGAUAGUUGACAUAUCCUUCAUUUUCCUAAUGUAAGGUAAAUGUUUGCAGAUGAUCAAGAAAAUGGAUCUUUAAACAAAAUGUCAUGUAGUUUACUGAAUGAGUUGGCACUUCAGAUUCCCACCAGCUUGAAUUUAUAAAUAUUUUUGGUGUGGUAGUACAUGUCAGGGACACUUCUAUGGAGCUUCUCAACUUGAGCGCUUUCCCAAGAGCCUUGAAAACAGCAGCAGAGAAAAUUCUAAAUCACUAAGUCCUUACUUUGGGCUGAAGUUAAUGGUAUUUUAGGUCUGUGUGCUGGAGGUCGGUGUGAGAGAGGAGCAAAGCUGGGGGCCAGUGAAGGAAGGAUCCAAUGGGGUUCUCUUGUGGUGUGUGCUGUGUAGGGAUUUAAAAGGUGUGCAUUGAGGGAAGUUAUCAGGGACAUCAGGGAGAUUCAUAUUUGACAGCCAUCGAAUGAGGAGAGAAUGGUGCAUGGACCUUGCUGAAGAACUGCCACAUGAGAAAGGACAGAACCUCUUUUCCAGGCACAGUCCCCUGAGAAAGAAGAUGGCCUUUCCUUGCAGCCCUUUGCCAGUUCAGAGGACUGAGGAACCCUAUCUUGAAUUGUAUCCAUCUUCUAUUCCACAGGGCAACAGCAGAGUCAGAGUCAGGGUCAGGGUCAGGAUCAGGGUCAGCCAAGUAUCUCAGUGGGACUGCUUGGGAGGCAAGUUUCUGUUGCCUGUCCAUCCUGUCUGCUCUGGUGAGACUCCCAAAUGUGUCCUUUACCACAGCUCUGUGAUGUAGAAUCCAAACCCCCACACAUACACAGGCAGCCUGCUUCAUAGAAACUCCGUGUACCUGCGCUGAUUUCUCCACCAGCUCUUUUUCAUAGAAGCUUCUAAUUGCUAUUUUCCAGUUCACAGACAUACGGAACUGGCUCAGUGGAGCCUCAUGGUGGGAGCAGGUGGGAGGAAACCGUGUGUGAACUAAGGGGAUUGCACCACCCUGGUAGAACCAGUUUCCCCAAAGAAAUGCAUCCUGCUGGGCUGUUAACACCUCUGUGCUGGCACCUUUCCAAGUCUCUCACAUCUCUGCUAUCCCCAAACCCUAUUGGAAACAGGGCUUUUCAUCUCCCUGGGAAAGCAUGUAGCUGAUGGGGAAGCUGGGAUCUCUCCAAGCAUCUUCUCCUGCUUGGAGCCUCAGAAGUGGCAAAUCUGUUUUAUCAAUGCACAGGCUUCGAUGGGGGGCUUAACCCUGACCCUUAUCACCAAGGACUGUUUGGGGAGCAGGCACAGCUGGCAUGUGCUGACAGCUAAGCCACAAGCUAAGGAGUUUGCCCCCUCUCUGCCUUUAGGUCUCCAGGUAUUUGGCUUAGGGAUUUGACCCCUGUUUCUGCAGGACCCAGUGCAACAACUUCAGUUUAUGCUGGGGACUCAUGCAUUCCCUCAUGAAAGGUACUCCAUAGCAAUAAAGAAGAGAAUCAAGGUUAUGAAGGGGGUGUUACCACCAACCUAUGUGCUGAAGUGUUUUGACAGAUGAUUGUAGAUGAAAAGGGAAAGUGCCUGUGUUAACUUCUCCAACUCACAAUGAGUCUUUGGUCUCAAUGGCUGAUGGAAAGAGAGCAAACAAUGUGUAUGUCAUAUUGAAACCAGGGGAGGCAGGAAACACAGAGCCCCAUGGUGCUGUUGUUGAAUAAAGCCAUUUUUCAGAGGCAGGACUGGAUUUUAAAACAGAGCCCUGGCUUGUGAAAAAACUGACUCAGUGUGUGUUGAGAUCUGUAGGGUCCCAGGGAGGAAGCCAGCUCUGGGAGGAUUUUUUGUUAUGGUAGGAACAUCUAGUUAGUUUUCUGUCACAAAACCAUUCACAACCGUGGACACGCACACACAAAUGUGCACAUGCACAAACUCACACACAGAAAUCCUCAUGACUUUUCCCUAAUGGGAAGAAAUUUAGUGAUCAACAUUUUGCCUCUUUUCAAACCCCUUUGAAGUCAGAGGCCGAGGUUUCAUAGUUGUUUUUUCUAAAGCUCUCUGUAACUGCUGACAUAUGCUGCACAUAUGGUUUUAAUGUGAUUAGACUUCCGAUCUGGGUUAUUUUUCCUUUCAGACUUGACAAAGUACCUACUUACCAGCCACAUAUCCAUGAGGAAGGGACUUUUAAUAAGUUUCCCACAAAGAAAUGUACUUCUGCAGAUUCAUUAAGCAAAUAUUAAUCUCUCCUUUUGAUUUCUUUUUCCUCCCUUUGAAAUAUGUGGGAAUUUGCUGAAAGCGGGGAAACUUUAGGUGGGACCAUGCUUUCCUUCCCUGAAUGCCCUCAAGAAAAAUUACUCAGGGGUGAUUACACAUCUUUGCAGGUGCCCUGCACCACUUGGUCUAGUAAGACAGCCUGCAUUUGUGAGAAUGCAGCUGAGUUAUUUUUUGUAGUGUGAAAAAUGUCUGGAGGCCUUGGUAGCAAAUGAGAUGCCCAUGGGCAAGAUGAGACUUGUGGCAGGGCUGGGAAUUCAGCCCCAUCUCCCAAAGAAAAUGUGUGGUGCACUGCUGUUAUGGAGAUCAGUGCAGACAGUACAGAUCCUCUCUGGGGUUUCCCCCUCAAUACUAUUAUUGGGUUUAGGGGUUUGUCAUUAACACCUUCAUGGUAGCAAUGACAUCUCACAUCUUGGAGACUACUGGAAUCUGCAUGAAUCAAGAGCCACAGGUGAAGAUCCUCCUCACUCUUUUGGCUAUUCUGAAGAUCUCAGAGUGUAUUGCCAGAACAGCCUACCCAGAUCCUGCAGCACAGAGGCUGCUACUGGUGCACAAAGUGUAUCAACAUCUAUGGUGCCUAUGAAAUUUUGGCCAUCUCAUUUUUUUUUCUGCACCCCUCUGAUCUCACACUUUCAUACAAUCAUAGAAAGGUUUGGUGCCUCACCACCCUUAUAGUAAAGAAUUUUUUCCUGAUAUAUAAUCUAAAUCUCUCAUCUUUCACUUUGAAACCAUUCUGGUAUAAUUUCAUUUUACCCUGUAAAAUCUUGUAGUUCUGUCAUUUCUCAUUCCCCUUAAAAUGCCUAAUCCUACAUUGAAUUCUGCUAGUCUUACCCUACAUUGAAUUCUGCUAGUCUUACCCAUGUAGUAGUUAUCCUUGAGUGAUUCCUGUGGCUAUGAAUCCUACAGGCUCAUUAGACACAGGGUAAAAUCAGAAGAGCUGGUGUGAAAAUGCUUCCUACCCUUUCCAUCCCCUCUGUAGCUAAGCAGUCCUGAAGGAACCUGUUUCAGGAGACUUGUUUUAUUGUAUAUGCUCUAGUUCAGUGCUGGUUUUUUGGUUUUUUUUUCCAGUAGUGAACUUUGCAUUUACCCACACUGAUAAAAAUGGUUGUGAACUUUCCUGACCCAUGGACUGUAGAUUAUGAAGUUCAUGAGAUAUAUGAUUAACCCUGGGCUGCGAAGUUUCUAGACUGAAGUCAGCUGAUAAAAGCAGAAUGUGAAAUCACUGCUGUGCUCACUUUGCCAAGAUAAUAUUUUACUAUCAGUGAGUUUGUAAACGCUUGCAAAGUACUUAUGUAAGAGAAGAAUAAAGGUCAGGCAAAUACCUGGGUAGUCAUGAGGGAAGGGGAAAAGACUGUAGGUGCAGAGAUAUACAGAAUAUUUUGACUAGUUAAUAAAACUCUUUGAUAAGAAAGUGCUGGCGUCACACCCUCGGCUCUCUGGCAAACAAGAAGUUUUUUAUGUCAGAAAUAAAGUAAUGAGUAAGCAAGAUUUAUUCUUGAGAUUUCUACUGAAAAUUUGUCUUGUACAAUCAUGCUACUUUAUGCAACACCAGCUACUCUACCAGUCCAACAGGCAUUUUUAAACUAGCUUGCCAGCACAAUCUCAGCUUUCCUCUCCAUGUACCCUUUCUAUCUCUUGGAAAUAAGCACCUUUUUCCUUCAUUAAUUUCACCUCUACCCUAAAGGUGCCUGCAGGUAGGAUGUAGUCUAAUUUGUACACUGAUUAAAUGCAAAACACUUUUUCUCAAAGUUUGCUGCUCUCACUUUAGCCUUAAAGAAGCUGGUGCACCCAAUAUCUGGCAGUGUCAGCUAUAUCAGCUGGGUAAUAAAGCAAUGCUCAUGUUGCAAACCCAUUCCAA